GUUACGGUUAAUAAGUAAAGUAAAUAAAGGUUUCUCAAAAACAGCGUAAUGACCUGGGAGAGAACAACGAUAACAAUGAACCAUUCCCAUGAGUGUUGCCUGGCAAUAUUUGUGGGGAUUUUUUGAUUAUUGUUAGCAUUUUUCUAGACAAGAACAACUGAAAAAAGAGUUUCUUUUUUCCAUUAUGUUUUGUUUCUGAGUUUAACCAAAUCACUCAUUAUUUCAAGGAGGAAUUAGGUUAUGUCAGUACAAUUAGAAGUUAAAGAAAGAGCUAUCCGUCCACGUUCACUAAGAAAUCAGCUACGUCACGAAGGGAAAGUACCUGCCAUUGUUUACGGUUACCAAAUUGAAAGUACACCAAUCUAUUUUG
rfam:Sphingobacterium faecium PCAi_F2.5 genome assembly, contig: Scaffold34